GGCAACGUGGCCGAGUUGGUUAUGGCGCCAGGUUAAGGUGUACCUUAAUACUAAGUCUGUGCAUUCAGUCUCCUGGUUCGGAAACGAGCAUGGGUUCGAAUCCCAUCGUUGUCA